AUUGAACGCUGGCGGCAUGCCUUAUACAUGCAAGUCGAACGGCAGCACGGGAGCAAUCCUGGUGGCGAGUGGCGAACGGGUGAGUAAAGUAUCGGAACGUGCCCAGUCGUGGGGGAUAACGUAGCGAAAGUUACGCUAAUACCGCAUACGACCUAUGGAUGAAAGCGGGGGAUCGCAAGACCUCGCGCGAUUGGAGCGGCCGAUAUCAGAUUAGGUAGUUGGUGGGGUAAAGGCUCACCAAGCCGACGAUCUGUAGCUGGUCUGAGAGGACGACCAGCAACACUGGGACUGAGACACGGCGCAGACUCCUACGGGAGGCAUCAGUGGGGAAUUUUGGACAAUGGGCGCAAGCCUGAUCCGGCCAUGGCGCGUGCAGGAUGAAGGCGUUCGGGUUGUAAACUGCUUUUGUACGGAACGAAAAGGUUUGACCUAAUACGUUGGACUCAAGACGGUACCGUAAGAAUAAGCACCGGCUAACUACGUGCCAGCCGCCGCCGUAA
rnacentral:rRNA from 1 species